ACACUGACGUCGCGACGCAUAUCAAUAAGCGGAGGAAAAGAAACUAACUAAGGAUUCCCUCAGUAACGGCGAGUGAAGCGGGAAGAGCUCAAAUUUGAAAUCUUCAAGGUUCUACCUUGACGAAUUGUAGUUUAAAGAAGUGUUUUCUGUUAGUGGAGUUUGGUAAAAGUUCUUUGGAAUAGGACAUCAUAGAGGGUGAGAAUCCCGUAUUUGAUCCAUUAUUUCUAGCUUUGUGAUACACUUUCAAAGAGUCGGAUUGUUUGGGAAUGCAGUCCAAAAUGGGUGGUAAAUUUCAUCUAAAGCUAAAUAUUGGCGAGAGACCGAUAGCGAACAAGUACCGUGAGGGAAAGAUGAAAAGAACUUUGAAAAGAGAGUUAAACAGUACGUGAAAUUGUCAAAAGGGAAGCGUUUGACACCAGUGUUGUUUUUCCCGAAAAUCAAUUACGAAUGGCUUGAUUUUGUGUUGUAUUGACCUUAUCAGCUUUCUGCACUUUUUUCGAGUCUUUCUUAAUGCACUUUUCGGUUAACAAGUCAACAUCAAUUUCUUUUGUUGUAAAAGAGUAUUCGGAAGGUGGCUUUCUUUUCGGAGAAAGUGUUUAUAGCCCUAUACUUCUACAAUCGGAGAGAUUGAGGUCUGCAGCGUAGAUCCUUCGGGGUUAGAUACACUUGUGCUAAGUUAUAGCUUUUCAUAGACAACUUGUUGACUAGUGUUUAGUCUUGUAGCUUACUCGCUUGUGCUAUUUUACCUACGCUUAGGAUGUUGAGUCGUAGAGCACGCAG
rnacentral:rRNA from 1 species